ACGAAAAGAUUUUUAUUAAAUAAAGGACAAAUUUUUCCCUCCGAAAAAUAAUUAUGUUGAUUGAUUCUAUACGACGGUCUAAACCGCGCGCCAGCAGACCCACCAGGGGUGACGGUGGCGGGGACGACGACAUGUUCAUUAGUGAAGAAAGCGCUCCCGCGUGUGUAUAUGGCAGCAUAGCAGCAGCAGCAAUGGAAUAUCUUCCCGUCUGCCUCUCCCCAUUUUCUACACGCUCCAUUAGCUCGUUAAUGCAUCCGUCUUGUCUUUUUCUUUUCUUAUUUUCUUAUUCUUAUCUGUUGCGCUGCGCACACAGUCGUCAUCCUGCCUGGCCCCUGCGUGCACGGCACGAAAAAGCCGAGACUAACAAACUGGAAAGAAAAAUAGGAAAAAGAACAAAUUUCCCAAGACUCCCGAAGUUCAACGAAUGAAUCUAUCCAGCAUACUACCUACAUAUAAUAUAAUACCCAUUUGUGGCAAAUGUCAUCGCACUCGACCUCCACCAUCCAGGGAAACUGGUUUUUCUUAUUCUCUUAUUAGAUGCUCGAAUUUUUGAUCACAUCACAGCACUGAAUACAAAAAGAUUUCUGCUGAUUAGCUCAAAACAAAAUAUAAAUCACCGGAGCGCUCUCAUUCCUUUUCCGGAAUUAUUUAUAUUUCCAACUUCAAACAAAAGUAUAUAAUAGUAGUAGAAUAAUAAUGGCCUUGCCAAAAAAUGUGUGAGCAAGUUUAGGGCACCCUGAGCUUAAAAACCAAAAACUUAGACGGUCAAAAAUCGUAAACUUAAAAAUGUUUUUCUUUCCUUCAAAAAAUCAAGUCGCGAUGAAUUUUUGGAAGUUGUUUGAGGUGCCGGACAUCAUGGCGGCACUGGCGGAAGGUUCCUCAGUAUCCCGAAGAAGGAUGCUGCUGCUGGAUGGUUGCGUGGCCGUUAUUGCCAGUUGCUAAUGGCCCGAGUCGGCCAUUAACUUGCUGAAUAAUUACGCCGACAGGUAGUUCUUGUCGUUAUUUUUUCUUUCCCUUCUUUUUUCUUUUUAAAGAUGAAAAGAAAAAGGCAAAUACUACAUGUUAAAUCUUUUUUUUUUUUCGAUUUUUCCGAGCAUCAUGAUGAUGGGCGGCCAUUGUAUAUCCCGAUAUACAUAUACCGUGAGUGAUUCCGAUCCGAUACGCUUUCGUAAAUGUUCCCGCCCUUUUUUUUGAAUUUUUUUCUCCGACACACAUUACAGCAGAGAAAUGUUGAACAUUUCCACAACAAAGAGUUAUAGGCGCCGGGAUGUAACACUCUUAUUCUCAUCCAUCCAUCCAUUUUGGUAUUUAUUCUUUUCUUAUUCUUAUAUAUCUAUUCCUUUUGAACUUGUCGUCGUUAUGUAGCUAUAUACAUUUGAACGCGGCACGAUUCACGCUCGCCCGCAUCAAUCGUCCGCUAUGUGUUGAGCUCUUCUCUCCGCAGCACUCUUAUAUAUAUCUAAGCAUAAUAAUAGCCGGCAGCUAUGGAAUAUAUUGUCAGGUUAUUCGACUCAUCAUCCGCAUACCCAAACGGCUUCGGGCGCCAAUUAUUGCCCUCCAAAAUUCAUUUUUAUCUAUUUCCCGAAAAAGAACGAAAAAUUCAAAUUUAUUCAAAUUAAGAAAAAAACACAAAAAUUGAACUGCAAAAAAAAAAAAGAUGGACCAUUUCUCAGGUAUCCCGAGCCAUGGGACUUGUAUUAUAUUUGAUGUCUAUUCCGGCGCGUUGAAGUAAUUAAAAGACACUAAAAACAAAAAAUUAUUUCAGACGUAGAAAAAUAUUUACGUGAAAAUAAAAAUUUAUUUAUUCUUUUGUUUCGACGAGUGUGUCUGCAGACGUCGCCGCUCUUUUGUCUCGUUUUUCCCCUUCGCCCUCGAAAAGUGACGAACUGGUUCUUAUAUAUUUCUUCUCUCGGAAAAAAAUUAUAGACACAAAAUUUCAAAAAAACCAACAAAAUUGAAAUAAAACAGAGAGAAGGACUGUGAGCGGCGGACCGUCAAAACAUCUCGGCUAGGUCUUUUUUUUCCGCUUGACGAGGUCGAAAAACACAAAUUUCCCAAAAGCGGAUGAGGAGAUGUGCAUGUUCUUCUUCCCCUUCAACAGUCGGUGCUGGGGCAUGGAGACCACACGCAUACUCCAGCAGGACCCUGUCGACAAUACACAGCGACAGCACAAAACUGGCGAUUUCAUUUCACCUUUUUCUGCUGAAAUGGCAAGACAAAAAACAA